GAGGCGGCGACUGGGGAGUUUGCCGCCGCGGCGGGAGCUGCGGGUGUCUGGCUGCGUCAAGAUCUAAGAAACUGAACUGUCAAUAAGUAAACAAUUUUUCCACAGUGGAAUCUCACAAGAGAAAGAAACCACGCUCACCGAGUCACCCAGAGGCAAACCCUGAGUCCUGGCUGACAUCUCCACCUCCUCACCCACAACCAAAAGACCAGGCCAGUCUUCCUUGCCGUAUGCCCCAGAUCACGUGGCAUUGGUGACGCAUUGAUCAGAUCACCUCUAAUGGGACACUAACUCUAAAGAUGGCCUCUUUAAAAUAUAUAAUAUCAAUUUUCCACCUUAAAAACUAUUUAUCUAUAGGAUG